GUCUUCCUUCUGCAGCACAUAAACUAGAACUGAAAUAAUACAAAGAAGACUGGCAUGGACCCUACACAAGGGUGGCAUCCAAAUUCAUGCAGCAUAUUUUAUUUUU